rnacentral:rRNA from 1 species
UACGGGGGAGCAAGCGUUGUUCGGAUUUACUGGGCGUAAAGGGCGCGUAGGCGGCCACCGCAAGUCGACUGUGAAAUCUCCGGGCUUAACCCGGAAGGUCAGCCGAUACUGCGGGCUAGAGUGCAGAAGGGGCAACUGGAAUUCUCGGUGUAGCGGUGAAAUGCGUAGAUAUCGAGAGGAACACCUGCGGCGAAGGCGGGUGCUGGGCUGACACUGACGCUGAAGCGCGAAAGCUAGGGGAGCGAACGGG